rnacentral:rRNA from 1 species
AUGGACUUUGAGCUCCAUUUGAUUAAGAGUAUUACAAACAAUUUUUCGAAGAACCAAGAAGUUGGGAGCGGUGCAUAUGGAGCUGUUUACAGGGCGGUGCAUAACGGGGAAGAGAUUGCUGUGAAGAGGCUUCAUGCCUUGCAAGGACUUGAUGAUAAGGAAUUCGAUAAUGAAUUCCGUAAUUUUACAAAGAUCUUUCACAAAAACGUUGUAAGGUUAAUUGGUUACUGCUAUGAAUCACAAGAAAAAUUCGUUGAGCACAAUGGGGACCUAAUUCGUGCUAAAGCUAUGGAGCGAGUUCUUUGCUUCGAAUAUAUGCAGCGUGGAAGCCUUGAGAAAUAUAUUGGAGAUAAACCUUGUGAACUUGAUUGGACAACAUGUUAUGAAAUUAUUAAAGGGACAUGUGAGGGUUUAAAUCAUCUUCACAUGCAGAAAAAACAUAUUUUCCAUCUGGACAUGAAACCUGCUAACAUAUUGCUAGAUAAUAGCAUGGCUCCCAAAAUUGCAGAUCUUGGUUUAUCCAAGCUUGUUUCUUCCACAAUAACAUAUAAAGCAGAGGUGAAAAAAGGAACAUAUGGGUACAUGCCACCAGAGUACAUAAACAAUGGAUUCAUAUCUGAGAAGUUUGAUGUGUUCAGUCUGGGGGUCAUAAUUAUAAAAAUGAUGGCUGGGAAUACAGGCCAUGUCAGCUGUUUUGAAAUGUCCCCAAAAGAGUUCAUUGAGCUUGUAAGUAAAACUUGGAAGGAGAAGAUGCAGGCAGUGUCAGGGUAUUCAUCUCACGAGAUAUACAUCCUUCAAGUGCGCAGAUGCAUUGAGAUAGCAUUGCGAUGUAUAUGCAAGGAUCGAAAAGAAAGACCUAAUAUAGAGAAAAUUGUUCAUGAACUGGAGGAACUGGAGGUUGAGACCAAUAAAAUUGCACUACCUUUUGAUCGGUCAAAAGACCUAAUUCUGAAGAGAAGUUGUGCCACCAAUGAUGUGGCGGUGGAACCAGCGUUCGAGUUGCGCUUCCUCUUCGAGCCGAGGAAGGAGGUGUCGUGCUGCCUGCAGCUCACCAACAAGACGGAUGGUUUCCUCGCGUUCAACAUAAAGGUCAACAAGAACAAGUACCGCGCACAGCCCAGCAUUGGCACAAUGCCUCCGUGCUCCAAGUGUUAUGUCAUCGUGACGCUGCGUCCGCAGGGGGCGGCACCACCCAACAUGCAGUGUCACGACAUGCUGCUCGUGCAGAGCAUCAGCAUCAGCGAGCAACUGGCAUCAGAAGAUACUCAAAUUUCUUAUCAAGAAGUGUUCAAGACAACCUUAGCGGAGAAGGUGGUAGAUGAGGUGAAACUGCCAAUUGUUUAUGUUCCUUUAUUGGAUGGAUAA